rnacentral:rRNA from 1 species
CGUGCCAGCAGCCGCGGUAAUACGUAGGGUGCGAGCGUUAAUCGGAAUUACUGGGCGUAAAGCGUGCGCAGGCGGUUUUGUAAGACAGAUGUGAAAUCCCCGGGCUUAACCUGGGAACUGCGUUUGUGACUGCAAGGCUAGAGUACGGCAGAGGGGGGUGGAAUUCCUGGUGUAGCAGUGAAAUGCGUAGAGAUCAGGAGGAACACCGAUGGCGAAGGCAGCCCCCUGGGCCUGUACUGACGCUCAUGCACGAAAGCGUGGGGAGCAAACAGGAUUAGAUACCCUGGUAGUCCACGCCCUAAACGAUGUCGACUAGUCGUUCGGAGCAGCAAUGCACUGAGUGACGCAGCUAACGCGUGAAGUCGACCGCCUGGGGAGUACGGCCCCAGUUGUUGCCUAUGCGGUAAAAGUUAUCGCCAGCUUUUUCGCGCUCCAGUUGCAGCGCGCUGGUAUCUUUUACCUCGGGCAAUUGUGGCGCCAGUCCCCAUUGUAUAUACGCAUAGCCGCCCAGUAAC